UACAUGGGGUGCAAACGUUGCUCGGAAUUAUUGGGCGUAAAGCGCACGUAGGCGGUCCGUUAAGUCGGAUGUGAAAGCCCCCGGCUCAACCGGGGAAGUGCAUCCGAAACUGGCAGGCUAGAGUACGAAAGAGGGUCGCGGAAUUCCCGGUGUAGAGGUGAAAUUCGUAGAUAUCGGGAGGAACACCGGUGGUGAAGGCGGCGACCUGGGUCGAUACUGACGCUGAGGUGCGAAAGCGUGGGGAGCAAACAGG
rnacentral:rRNA from 1 species